GGACUACAGGGGUAUCUAAUCCCGUUCGCUCCCCUGGCUUUCGCGCCUCAGCGUCAGAAGAGGUCCAGCACGCCGCUUUCGCCACCGGCGUUCCUUCCGAUAUCUACGCAUUUCACCGCUCCACCGGAAGUUCCGCAUGCCCCUACCUCCCUCGAGGCGACCAGUAUCAGAGGCCCUUUUCCGGUUGAGCCGAAAGAUUUCACCCCUGACUUUGUCGCCCGCCUACGCGCCCUUUAAGCCCAGUGAAUCCGAACAACGUUCGCACGGUUCGUCUUACCGCGGCGGCUGGCAC
rnacentral:rRNA from 2 species